GUCAAACGAUUACAAAAAUUGUUAAAAAGCAACAUUGAAUCUAACUGACAAAAACACAAUAACUUGCGACAUCACUGUGAUGCAAGUUUUAUCCUGCGACGAAAGAUCUCACGAGAAGCACUCUCGUUGUACACGUCGGCAAACCUCUCGAACUCCCUACACGUCGCUGCGACUGGUUCAUUAUACCCGUAGCUGGUUCUAUGCGAAGGAGGACGAAAGACGUUCGUUCAGCGAAAGCUGUAUGAGUGGAUCGGCCUAUUGCGAUACGAAUCAAAGAGUUCAACCAGCGACGGUGCACGAACCCUACCAAGAUAAGUAAUUUUAAC